UCUCUGUGUAUUUAAAUUAGACAGAAGAUUCGAUAUUUUUAACGUUGCGAAUUGGCAACGGACGCAUUAGAAUAUCUAUGAGUAAGUGUUACAUAGAAAGUGAAUGAAGGAAAAAAAAAGAUAUGCCCUUUGCGAAAAU